GAUGAAGAACGUAGCGAAAUGCGAUAAGUAAUGUGAAUUGCAGAAUUCAGUGAAUCAUCGAAUCUUUGAACGCACAUUGCGCCCCUUGGUAUUCCGAGGGGCAUGCCUGUUCGAGCGUCAUUAUAACCCUCAAGCUCAGCUUGGUGUUGGGGCCUGCUGCAGUGGCAGCCCUUAAAAUCAGUGGCGGCACCAUCUGGCUCUAAGCGUAGUAAUUCUUCUCGCUAUGGAGUCCUGGUGGAUGCUUGCCAUCAACCCCCAAUUUUUCUAUGGUUGACCUCGGAUCAGGUAGGGAUACCCGCUGAACUUAAGCAUAUCAAUAAGCGGAGGA
rnacentral:misc_RNA from 1 species